CAGGACAAAUGUGGCCAGAAGAUGCUGCAUGCUUGGCAAGGAAUAAACUUCUUGAUUGCAGUGCAGUUGUAUAAAGGCAGGAUGGCGAGCAUACCAAGAGGAAGUGUUACUGACCCUCAUCCUUGAGGAUAAAAGACAAAAUCUCGUGAAGGAUUGUAGGGUGGAAACAUGUUUGGCAGUGCAGUUUCUGAUAUCAAUUCCAGAAAUGAGAACCCAAUUAAGUGAACCCAGUAUAGGGGAUGGCAAAUCCUAUAUCCUUUGCCAGAAGAAGCAAUGCGGAUGAGUACAUUGUAGGGAGAGCGGCUGCCCUUCCUUCCCUCGGUGCCUACAGCUGGCUCGUGUUGUCGCACUCGCAGCUGAUGCCCCUCGGCCGAUCAUGCAUUGCUGAUCACCAUUCAAGAGUCGCUGUCCAUCACGAAGAGCUCCUGAGAAACCCGGCUCUGCCCUCCGCUAAUCUCACCCCUCCGAGCUGGCUGCCCCACGACGGGACGGGGCGGCCCGCAAGACCCGGUGCUGCCCGGCUGCGCCUCGUCCUCGGAGAUGGUGUCAGCUCUCCGCGAUAUCAGUUUGAUAUUCUGAUAAGCCAAAUGGGCGAAGAAAGGAAAAUUCCCGGAUAUACCGCUGUGUUUGGAAAUAUAUUGACUGCCUGGGAUUUAUCUUUCUCUAAUUACACAAACCAGCCUAGGCUCUUCUGUUGUACAGCUGCACAGCUAGCCUGAAAAUCCCUGAAUUUUUGGGAAAGUAGUUCAGUUGUUUCCCUUUGCUCCUACUUGCCUGUUAGUGAAGUUUACUGAUGGCAGUUAACAUUGCUUGCCUGCCAUUUGCCUGAUACCAAUGGUAAAGCUUAGACUGAAGGCAAUGCAGCUACACUCAAACUUCUGCUCCCUUCCAAGGUUGUUCAGUCUUCCACUGCUUCCUACAUGAGAAGCUUUUAUUUCUAUUUGUUAGGAGGGCCACAACCCAUUCUGGGGCCAGCCCUCUAGAAAAGUAGGGCUGUGAUGCACCUGAACCGUGGGGGUGGAGGGGUUCAUUUGAAAGCUUCACCUGGUGCUGUUUCCUUCUGACUGCCUUGUGACUGAUUGAUCUCAACAUACAGCUG
rnacentral:lncRNA from 1 species